AACGAACGCUGGCGGCAGGCCUAACACAUGCAAGUCGAGCGAGACCUUCGGGUCUAGCGGCGGACGGGUUAGUAACGCGUGGGAAUAUGCCCAAAGGUACGGAAUAGCCUCUGGAAACGGAGAGUAAUACCGUAUGUGCCCUUCGGGGGAAAGAUUUAUCGCCUUUGGAUUAGCCCGCGUUGGAUUAGAUAGUUGGUGGGGUAAUGGCCUACCAAGUCUACGAUCCAUAGCUGGUUUGAGAGGAUGAUCAGCAACACUGGGACUGAGACACGGCCCAGACUCCUACGGGAGGCAGCAGUGGGGAAUCUUCGGCAAUGGGCGCAAGCCUGACCGAGCCAUGCCGCGUGAGCGAUGAAGGCCUUAGGGUUGUAAGCUCUUUCGCCAGGGAUGAUAAUGACAGUACCUGGUAAAGAACCCCGGCUAACUCCGUG
rnacentral:rRNA from 1 species